UUCUCUGUUGGACUCCUGGACUUCCAGAAAGGUUCGCUCAUCCAUGGGUGAUCGCCUAGAUCAGUGUGCUCCAGGGCUCCUGGAUCCUGGUCAAGAGAGCCUGAAGCCAGUUCAUGGGCCACUUCAGGAUCCACAACCAGGACCAAGCAACAGAACCCUAACUAUUUUCAAGAUGUUCAGAUAGAAGUACUAAUUUUCUGAGAUUACCUUCCAGCUAGAUUUGGCUAUGCAAGGCACUUCGGACUAAUAAAAUGCAAGUAGGAAUCUACUGGAUGAGACUUUUAAAAAGCUAAAAUUUU